rnacentral:rRNA from 1 species
AACGAACGCUGGCGGCAGGCCUAACACAUGCAAGUCGAGCGAGGACUUCGGUCCUAGCGGCGGACGGGUGAGUAACGCGUGGGAACGUGCCCUUUGCUUCGGAAUAGCCCUGGGAAACUGGGAGUAAUACCGGAUGAGCCCUUUGGGGGAAAGAUUUAUCGGCGAAGGAUCGGCCCGCGUUGGAUUAGGUAGUUGGAGGGGUAAUGGCCUACAAGCCGCCGAUCCAUAGCUGGUUUGAGAGGAUGAUCAGCCACACUGGGACUGAGACACGGCCCAGACUCCUACGGGAGGCAGCAGUGGGGAAUCUUAGACAAUGGGGGAAACCCUGAUCGAGCCAUGCCGCGUGAGCGAGGAAGGCCUUAGGGUUGUAAAGCUCUUUCAGCUGGGAAGAUAAUGACGGUACCAGCAGAAGAAGCCCCGGCUAACUCCGUG